rnacentral:lncRNA from 1 species
AUGAACGACGACAAGAAUAGAAGCUUGCUGACGAACUUGGUUUCAGCCCCAAGCCGGCAAAACGUGCACGCACCGAGCUAGCACACAAGCUGAUUACUUCCAGAUGUGUACUACCUGCGUUUAGCCGAAGCUAAGCUAGCAACCAGAACGAUUCCUCCACUUGAUCGAUUCUAGCCAAUGCACACGCACACACACGAAACCAAUAUUGAUUGCCAACAGGGGCUUGUCGCUCCUGGCCUUUUCUUUAUUGCUUUCGAUU